rnacentral:rRNA from 1 species
GAUCGGGGAUGGGCUCGCGGCCUAUCAGCUUGUUGGUGGGGUAAUGGCCUACCAAGGCGACGACGGGUAGCCGGCCUGAGAGGGCGACCGGCCACACUGGGACUGAGACACGGCCCAGACUCCUACGGGAGGCAGCAGUGGGGAAUAUUGCACAAUGGGGGAAACCCUGAUGCAGCGACGCAGCGUGCGGGAUGACGGCCUUCGGGUUGUAAACCGCUUUCAGCAGGGAAGAAGCGAAAGUGACGGUACCUGCAGAAGAAGUACCGGCUAACUACGUGCCAGCAGCCGCGGUAAUACGUAGGGUACGAGCGUUGUCCGGAAUUAUUGGGCGUAAAGAGCUCGUAGGUGGUUGGUCACGUCUGCUGUGGAAACGCAACGCUUAACGUUGCGCGGGCAGUGGGUACGGGCUGACUAGAGUGCAGUAGGGGAGUCUGGAAUUCCUGGUGUAGCGGUGAAAUGCGCAGAUAUCAGGAGGAACACCGGUGGCGAAGGCGGGACUCUGGGCUGUAACUGACACUGAGGAGCGAAAGCAUGGGGAGCGAACAGGAUUAGAUACCCUGGUAGUCCAUGCCGUAAACGUUGGGCACUAGGUGUGGGGGGCAUUCCACGUUCUCCGCGCCGUAGCUAACGC